ACCUCCAGGCCCAUAACCGGCACCACCAGCACCAACUCCUCCACCAGGUCCAAAGCCAGUACCAGCUCCACCAGGUCCAAAGCCAGUACCAGCUCCACCAGGCCCGAAACCGGUACCGGCUCCACCAGGUCCAAAACCAGUACCGGCUCCACCAGGUCCAAAACCGAUAGCAGCUCCACCAGGUCCAAAACCGGUGCCAGCUCCACCAGGUCCAAAGCCGGUACCAGCUCCACCAGGGCCGACUCCUCCACCAGGUCCAAAGCCGGUACCAGCACCACCAGGGCCGACUCCUCCACCAGGUCCAAAGCCGGUACCAGCGCCACCUGGGCCAACUCCUCCACCAGGUCCAAAGCCGGUACCAGCGCCACCAGGACCAACUCCUUGACCAGGUCCAAAGCCGGUACCAGUGCCACCAGGCCCAACUCCACCACCAGGACCAAUACUGGAACCAGCUCCACCGGGGCCAACUCCUCCCCCAGGCCCAAAGCCAGUUCC
ensembl:lncRNA